GACGAACGCUGGCGGCGUGCCUAAUACAUGCAAGUAGAACGCUGACGCGAGGAGCUUGCUCUUCUUGGGUGAGUUGCGAACGGGUGAGUAACGCGUAGGUAACCUGCCUUGUAGCGGGGGAUAACUAUUGGAAACGAUAGCUAAUACCGCAUAACAAUAGGUGACACAGGUCAUUUAUUUGAAAGGGGCAAUUGCUCCACUGCAAGAUGGACCUGCGUUGUAUUAGCUAGUUGGUGAGGUAACGGCUCACCUAGGCGACGAUACAUAGCCGACCUGAGAGGAUGAUCAGCGACACUGGGACUGAGACACGGCCCAGACUCCUACGGGAGGAAGCAGUGGGGAAUUUUGGACAAUGGGCGCAAGCCUGCUCCAGCCAUGCCGCGUGCAGGAUGAAGGCCUGCGGGUUGUAAACUGCUUUUGUACGGAACGAAAAGCCUCUUUCUAAUAAAGAGGGGUCAUGACGGUACCGUAAGAAUAAGCACCGGCUAACUACGUG
rnacentral:rRNA from 1 species